rnacentral:lncRNA from 1 species
UUUCUUGACAAAUUGAGACUUUUCUAACUUUAAUUUCACUCAUUUUUAAAGAAAAGAAGUAGAUUCAUUAAAGUAAGUGCAAUCAUAUUGUUAACUUUUUUUUUUUUUUUUUGGUUCGCUUUCUCCUAAUCACACUAAUAAGUCAACAUCUCCAAAGAGUUGGCCCAAACAAAAUAUACACUAUCAAUAAGAUAAUAACAUACUACAUUUUUACCAUAAUAAGAAGUUUCGGACUUUACGAUGUAUAGUAACUUCGAA